rnacentral:rRNA from 1 species
UACGAAGGGGGCUAGCGUUGCUCGGAAUUACUGGGCGUAAAGCGCACGUAGGCGGCUAUUCAAGUCAGAGGUGAAAGCCCGGGGCUCAACCCCGGAACUGCCUUUGAAACUAGGUAGCUAGAAUCUUGGAGAGGUCAGUGGAAUUCCGAGUGUAGAGGUGAAAUUCGUAGAUAUUCGGAAGAACACCAGUGGCGAAGGCGACUGACUGGACAAGUAUUGACGCUGAGGUGCGAAAGCGUGGGGAGCAAACAGG